CUUUGCGGUGUAUGACGCUCAUAGAACAGUCUUUUGUAAAAAGGUAAAACCUGGGUUCCCUCGGUUGGGUCUUGGUCUGUCGGGCUGACACAGGGUUUUGGGUCUUUCCGAUUAGGCGGUGCCCCAUCACUGCUGACGUUGGUUAGACCUGAUCCCCCCAGGCCGGAUGGGACCCUACCCUUCUGGUGCGGUUGGUUAACCCUUCCCUCAUUUAGGUCUCGGUCUGUCGGGCUGACACGGGGUUUUGGGUCUUUCCGAUUGGGCGGUGCCCCAUCACUGCUUACGUUGGUUAGACCUGAUCCCCCCCAAGGCCUGAUGGGACCUUACCUUUCUGGUGCGGUUGGUUUCUCAGUCUGACUUUGGUCUGCCGGGGCUGAUUAAGGGGAGGUAGAGUUCUUUUUGACUAGGCAGUGCCCCAUCAUUGCUGAUGUUGAUCGGACCUGGUUCCCCCGGCUUUGGGAGAUUCUAUCUGGACUGGUGUGAGGCUGGAAGACCCUUUCUUUUGAGGGGAUCGCCCUGCUCUUUGGUCCCAACUGGUUUAAAACUGGGGAAACCAGAAAUGGUGCAAACAAUUGGUUUUAAGUGAGUUGGCUGGAGGGACCCCAGAGCCAACGGCAGUCCGAGCAGACCACCUUCUCCCGCCGCAGGCAGGAUCAAACUCUCGGUCCGGCAGCUUCCCCGGUGAUGGGCUCCGUGUAACAAGUUCCCUCAGUCUGUGCGGGGAGCCGCAUCGUGGGUACUCCCCGGUCUGCUCUAUCUGAACCAUGGUGAUGCUGCUGUCAUCGCUCGCCUCUCCUCCGGUGGUGCCCUUGGAUCCCUCCGCCGCCACACUGCCCUGCACACGGGAGAUCACUAUCCCGUCAGGGGUCGCCAGUCUCUGGCACUGUUAUUUUUGGGGUCACGGGCUGAAAAGUCUCAUCAUGCUUAAUCCUAGACCGUUACAUGGUAUAUAUUGUACGACUUUGUAAUUUUUGAAUGUUGAUUCGCUCAUAGCCUACUGUGCCUUUCACGCAGACAAUAAAAGUGCAUUUUGAAAUGACAAAUAGGUUUAUGUUUCAAGUUUAUUUGCAUUAAAAACGUGUUUUUAAACCC